UGGUAUUGAAGGAACUAGAUACUGUUCCGAAAUAUCACUUACUCGACCCGUCCUGACCGCGUAGCUCAGUUGGAAGAGCAUUGGGCUAGUAUUCCAAAGGUCGUAGGUUCGAAUCCCACCGUGGCCGGGCAUAUUUUUCAAGCUCGCCCGGUGUGGAUAUGCACUCAGAGUAACAUCGCAAACAUAUGUUUUAACUAUUUUAUACAUAUUUAUUA